AUUUUUUUACCUUUGUAAAUACAUAAAUAAUAAAUACAUGUAGUUUUAUUUUUAUAGCUACUGGAAAAACACUUCCAUGGUUUAAUUGUACCUUUUUAAACAUUGUUGCUGAACGGUUUUGGAAAGGAGAGGCAAAGGGAGUUUUUCUUGACUAAUGUGGAAAAUGUGAAUAAAGCACAAUGAGCGCUUACUUGAUGAUGAUUUAGAUGCUGAGAAAAUUCGGAGAUCUUUCCAUCAUCAUUCUGAACAUCAACCCAAUUGACAGAACUCUGUAUGUUUCAGCAGCAGCUGGAAAAUGUCCGGUGAUCGCUGAGCCUUUCCUGUUUUCUCUCAGAGUACAGAGAGCACCAUACUCUGCCAGCUGGAGGCAGUCUGACUAUCCCUGUGUACACGAGGGAGAAAGUGGUGAUGCUGUUCCAUCCUUCUAGAAACGGGGAUUCUUUCGAACUGUGUACUCUAGAGAAUGGAAUAGCAGACUGCCACGAUGAGUACAACCAUGCGAUAUCCUUUAAGGGGGAAGGUCUGGUGUUACAUGGCUUAACACCAGAAUACCAUGGGAAAUUCGAAGUGCUCCACAGGGAGAGAAAUGUGCUCCUCAGCCAUGUGUCACUGACAGUAAAAGAUCACAAAGAACACAUCACCCUGCAGACUGGAGCUGUCCUCAUUAUCCGCUUCUACACUGAUACGCCAGUGAAGGUGCUGUUUUUCCCCCCGGGGGGACAUCAGCCCCCCCGAACUCUGCUAAACCACAGUGAGGUUCUUGUCCCUGAGGACUUCUUACUGAAGAAAGGAUGCCUGGUGCUGAAAAGAGUCACACCAGCACAUCAGGGCGUUUACAAAGUGCAGUACAUCAGCAAGGAAAUCAAUAUCAACACGGUAGCGGUCACUGUGGCAGAUUCAGAGAGACUGAGUGACUUUGGAAGCCCAUAUUUUGAGAAAAGGAUCAGCGGCAAAGACACAGGUUCUGAAAAUUUGCUCCAAGAUCCCAAAUUUCUAGCAGUGUUUGCUGUUAUAGGUGUUUUGGUGGUGAUAAUUCUGGUGAUGCUGUCAGUCGGGCUGAGAAGGAGGUGGUCGGACGUUAAUGCCUACGCUUGCUGACGUAGCUACCCACCAAAAUUAUAGUAUACAAAUAUACAAAUUUUGAAGGGGUAUUGUAACAAAAGCGUUCUUUCAGGACUCUAUGCAGACGACACAAUCCGGGGAUGAGUGGGGAAAACACGGGGGGAAAGCAUGUAGGAGUUGGGAAUCAAAACAGGGGGCGUGUCCAUGGUGUGCUGGUGUUCGGGGGAGGUGUGGCUGAGGCAAACAAUCCAGGAGAAGGUCCAAGGGGGAAUCCAAGAGAAGACGAAAAUCCAAAACCAGGCGGUCCAUCCAAGACGAACAGAAUAAAAACGGGAACCAGGUCGGAACCGGCAGGAACAGGAACUUAAAAGCUUGACGUGACCAGGCGCUUCCAGGUCCCGGAUUCGCCUGGUAUGGAAACCAAUGCAGAGCCCGGAACAGAGUAGGCGUCUGGCUUUUAAGGGGAACUGAAAAGGGGUCUGGAACAGGGAGCAGGUGCGGGAGAUGAGUAAAGAACAAGGAAGGGCUGGAGCGUCCUUAAGAGAAGGGGUUUAUGAAUGUGACAGGAAUAGAUCCUGGUAGAAAUUUGUAUACCUACUGUAUUAUGGAAACGGCGACUCAGGGUCUAUAAUUUGUUCAAGUCUUUUUGUUGUUUCUGUGUUCGCCACUCUUUUGUUGUUGUCUGCAGAAUGUAAUAGGUUUACUAACUGCAUCGGGAUCUCACUUGUUGAUACGAGUAAGGAAGAGCAGUGAGCCUUAAACAGGUCCCUGUAGCACACCGGUGCUAACAACUUCCCAAGGACAGCUCAUGCACCUUAAGGUGGCACUGUGCCUGCUGUUUGAUCACAAGUUAUCAGUCCUUGUCAAGCAGUCACCUUGUAGUCCAAGUGCUUAGAAGUAUCCAGUUAUUAACUUUUCACCUGCUUUAUUUUAUUCUCAUCAUUUAAAAAUACUUCAAAUAUUUAUUUUAAUACUUUCUUUUAAUAUGAUUAAUAUAAUAUUAAAUCAAUUUCAUAUAACUGAAUAAUUAAAACAUAUAAGAUAUAACUAAUAUAAUAUUAAAUUAAUAUAAUCUAAUUUAAUCAUUAAACCAUGUAAGAUAUGAUUAAUAUAAUAUUAAAUUAAUAUUAUAUGAUUGAUCGAAUCAUAUAGGAUAUGAUUCAUAUAAUAUUAUUAAAUCACAUUAUUAACAUAUUAUUCAAUUAUUUUCAUACCUAUUUUAAUAUAUUUCAUUUUAAUAUUUUUAAACAAAUUUUAAUGUUUAAACAGUUCAGGAGAGGAGAGAAAAAUGCUAGAUGAUAUGCACUGACAGGAGGUGUGUUAGGGGAGAAAUAACAUUCCUUAUGUAACUCACAAUUCAAAAGAUAGACUAUUAAAGGGACAGAUAUUCUCAUUUUAAAUUCUAUUUUUGUAAAUAAUAAAAUGUAUCACUCACUGCAUUACUACUGUAUAUAUAUAUUUUUAGUUUGAGUGUUAGUCUUAAGCUGUAUUCUGUACAGGAUCUGUUGUGCCAGAAUCUAAAGAGAAACUGAAAUGAGCCAAACACAAACAUUGUUGAAUUGUAGGAAAUACUGGAGUGGGUCCCAGGAAGCACUAACAUUUCCUGUUAGAAAAUUAAUCUGUUUUGUAGCUGAUUGUAGAUAACUAGAGGGUGUAGUUUCACAUGAUCAUUUGCCGUUCCAGAAUAAUCGUUUUGUGUGUUUAACCAAUCACUCUCCACAGUAACCUCUGACUUGGGGUGUGGCUUUACUGACUAUUCCAAAUGUUGCCUGUCUUGAGGGGUCUGUGAUAGCUACGCUUCUGUUUGAUAUUUUCUGUAUACAUAUUUUCUGUCUAAAUAUUGCAAAUAACAGUGAUAUACGUAAGAGUGGAGGGUAAAAUGACUGUCAUAUUUUUUUAUACAAAUAAAGUGAAAAGGCAGACCUGAACAAAAC
rnacentral:lncRNA from 1 species